GAUGAACGCUAGCGGAACGCCUAACACAUGCAAGUCGAACGGUCGCCUCGGCGACAGUGGCAAACGAGCGAGUAACGCGUACGGUAAUGUGCCCUUGAGUUGGGAACAGCUACGGAGACGUAGCUAAUUCCCAAUAUGCUCACGAUGGUGAAAUUCCGAUGUGAGGAAAGAUUUAUCGCUCAAGGAGGGGGGUGCGUCCUAUCAGGUUGUUGGUAGAGUAAUAGCCUACCAAGCCUAUGACGGGUAGCCGGUCUGAGAGGAUGUCCGGCCGCGAUGGGACUGAGAUACGGCCCAUACUCCUACGGGAGGCAGCAGUGGGGAAUUUUGCACAAUGGACGCAAGUCUGAUGCAGCGAUUCCGCGUGGAGGAUGAAGCAUUACGGUGUGUAAACUCCUUUUCUGGUGGAAGACGAAUGACGGUACACCAGGAAUAAGAGACGGCUAACUACGUGCCAGCAGCCGCGGUAAUACGUAGGUCUCAAGCGUUAUCCGGAUUUACUGGGCGUAAAGAGUCCGUAGCCCGAUAUGUAAGUCAGUUUUCAAAUACCCCGACUCAAUCGGGGAAAGGGAAUAGAUACUGCAUAUCUAGAGAGUAUUGGAGGUUAGUGGAAUUUCCGGUGGAGCGGUGAAAUGCGUUGAUAUCGGAAAGAACGCCGAAAGCGAAAGCAGCUAACUAUGAUCACUCUGACGGUGAGGGACGACAGCAUGGGGAGCAAACGGGAUUAGAUACCCCGGUAGUCCAUGCCGUAAAUUAUGUCUGCUAGGUGUUUCUCCGCUAAUUAUAUUUGUAUCGUAUAAAUGUAAUUACCGGAGGAGUGCCGUAAUCUAACGAGUUAAGCAGAUCGCCUGGGUAGUAUAUUCGCAAGAAUGAAACUCAA
rnacentral:rRNA from 1 species